GUCAACAGGAACCACAAAACACAUGGGGAGCUAAAGUGUGUAGACCCCUCACAUGCCUUGGACUCAGUCAAAGCCAGGCUAAACUACUGAGCCCACAAGUUAACAGCCUAUUCUCUAAGCCCCUUCUCCUUUCCUUCUGGAAGAAAAACAGAAGCACAAAAGGUUAGGUAUUGAGAAUUCUCAUUCUUCAACUGGAUACCCUGCCCGUUGACAGAGGAUAGCCA
rnacentral:lncRNA from 1 species